GAGUUCGAGUCUCCUAACCUCCACUGAUCGAACUCAAUCUCCAUCGUCUGAAAGAUGGAAGGUGAACUCGAGGAGAUGUGAUUUAGAUGUGUCCGCUGGCAUGACCCCAGCUUCCUGUCAUUCCGAAAUGACGUGAAUUAUCACGAUGUUUUGGUUGAUAAGAUGCUGGGCUCGAACUGAUUGAUCAGUUUGAUGUCUAGCA
rnacentral:misc_RNA from 1 species